rnacentral:rRNA from 1 species
AAUCAACGCUGGCGGCGUGCUUAACACAUGCAAGUCGAACGCGAAAGUUCCUUCGGGAAUAAGUAGAGUGGCGUCCGGGUGAGUAACGCGUGGGUAAUCUACCUUCGGGUGGGGAAUAACCCAGGGAAACUUGGGCUAAUACCGCAUAAUGCAGCGGCUCGACAUCGAGACAGUUGUUAAAGUAGCAAUGCGCCUGAAGAGGAGCCUGCGUCUGAUUAGCUAGUUGGUAAGGAAUGGCUUACCAAGGCUACGAUCAGUA